UAAGGAAUAUUGGUCAAUGGAGGCAACUCUGAACCAGCCAUGCCGCGUGAAGGAUGAAGGUCCUCUGGAUUGUAAACUUCUUUUAUGUGGGAAGAAACCGAUACAUUCUUGUGUCGUUGACGGUACCAUAGGAAUAAGCACCGGCUAACUCCGUGCCAGCAGCCGCGGUAAUACGGAGGGUGCAAGCGUUAUCCGGAUUCACUGGGUUUAAAGGGUGCGUAGGUGGGAAUGUAAGUCAGUGGUGAAAUCUCCGUGCUUAACACGGAAACUGCCAUUGAUACUAUGUUUCUUGAAUUUUCUGGAGGUUAGCGGAAUAUGUCAUGUAGCGGUGAAAUGCUUAGAUAUGACAUAGAACACCAAUUGCGAAGGCAGCUAACUACAGGGAUAUUGACACUGAGGCACGAAAGCGUGGGGAUCAAACA
rnacentral:rRNA from 1 species